GUAUAGUACGUUAGUGAUUGUUGAUACUAAUACUCCCCACAGGUUAGCAAUUCCUCACCAAUUGCUUGACUUAAAUCCUAACGAAUAUGCACGGGCAAAACUCGAAAAAAAUGUGCGAAAACAUGAUAUAAUACUUGAAAGAAAUAUUAACAAGAGAAUGGUGUAAUAUAGAACCUGACUUCGUUAAAAGUUUGGUGUUAUCAAAGCCCAAUAUAUUACGUGAAGUGAUUCGCCGGAAGGGUUAUCAUACAAAAUAUCAAUUUAUAAAAUUCCUACUAAAAUAAUUGCAGCAACAAUUAAGUAUACGAAUACUGUUGUCCCGGCGAUUUCUUACAGUCUCGUGAACUUCAAGUCAUUCCAAGUUACUACACGAUGUUUCUCCCUUUGGUUUUGAGUCAUUUGUUGCUAUAAGUGUUAUGUUUAAUAUACAGCUAUGUAUGAUUAAAUAUACUUAAUAAUAUAAAAAAUGUUCUUUUUAUUUCUAUAUUUCAAGUGUACGAAUACUUUUGUUUUCCACUGUAUGUAAGUACAGUAUUCUCUGAUUGAAUGUAGCGAAAGGGUUAAUCUUUUAAGACGAACCCUGAGUGUAUCGCAACGCAGAAUCCGUUAUAUUUCUUUGUUACAAUCGGGCAGCAGUUAUGAACAGAGUGAAGAUUUACUUAAUACCUGCGUCAUAAUUUCUCUUAAGUUUACAGGUCCACAAACAGACCCUUCGGUUCCUUUUCCAACAUCGAGGGUUUACCCAGAUUUAUACAUCCAGGCUUAAUCCUGCAAUAAAGUUUCAAACUACCUAAACAAAAAAUCGGAAGGGCUGUAGUGUUUCAGGGUACCAAAGUGUGCGUCCUUUACAAUUUUUUUUAAUGUGUUCCAAUUCAAUUUCUUCAAAGAAUAUAAAAAAUACAGAGAAAUGAUUGUAACAAAAGUUCACUAGUAUCUAAGUGAAUAUAAGAGAGGAUUAUGACGGAGUUUGACGAAAGGAGGCUGGAUGAAAGAAGUGUAAUGUGAAAUUGAAAAGUCAAGGAUGCAAGGGAAAGCUGUUCCCGAGAACAGGACUAGCCUUGAAUCCACCAUAAACUGAAAUUAAUAGUGUUCGAAGCUUACGAAUGUGAGCUUUGUUCUACAGAAAAGUAUUCCCUGAUGAUACCUAAUUAAAUAUGAAGGAAAACUAGCUGAUAAAAUUAUCUGGAAUGGUCGGCAAAACGGUGGAAAUAUUUUCUUGCUAGACGUGGUUUAUACCUGCUAAUUUUAAACAGUUUUCACUUCAAUCUUUUAACCUCGGAGCGCUGAAAGAACGUUUGAAAUGUUGCUGUUUUAUAUGUUGUAAUACUUUUCUAUGUACGAGGUGUCCCUGCACUGACGGUUGAAGACAGAUGAUUUUAUAUGCUAUAGUUAGUCAAAAAUAUAAAAUAAUAUUUUUUAUCUAGAUCUAGAGAAAAUUAAAAUGGGAGAUUUCUUGGGAUAUUUUUUACAAUUAGAUGUGUUCAUGACAAGA
rnacentral:lncRNA from 1 species